CAAUAGCGUAUAUUAGAGUUGUUGCAGUUAAAAAGCUCGUAGUUGGAUUUGUGGCGUACGGUGUGUUCCGGGCACUUGUUGUCUGAGUAACCUGCUGUUGCCAUCCUUGGGUGGAACCUGUGUGGCAUUAGGUUGUCGUGCAGGGGAUGCCCAUCAUUUACUGUGAAAAAAUUAGAGUGUUCAAAGCAGGCUUAUGCCGUUGAAUAUAUUAGCAUGGAAUAAUGAGAUAGGACUUUUUUGCUAUUUUGUUGGUUUGCGCAAGAAGGUAAUGAUUAAUAGGGACAGUUGGGGGUAUUCGUAUUCCAUUGUCAGAGGUGAAAUUCUUGGAUUUUUGGAAGACGAACUACUGCGAAAGCAUUUACCAAGGAUGUUUUCAUUAA
rnacentral:rRNA from 1 species